GCCUGGGAGUCAGGUAGCAGGGCCUUUGGGAUCCAGUCGCUCAUUGACUGUGAGCUCAGGCAAGCUCGUACACUCCAGAGGCUCCUCUGCUUCCGUGUUGCACGAGAAUGCAGUGUUACAGGAUCCUAAAUGCAGUUGUGAGGAUUAAAUGUGAAAGUGCUCAUGGCAUACAGAAUGCUGAACCCAGGCCUGGCGCAGAAGGGUCAGCCAUUUCUAAUGGGAUACAGGCACACAUGCAUGUCCACCACAUGCAUGCCUGGUGCCUGCGGAGUUCAGAAGAGAUGAUCAGAUUCCUUGGAACUGGAGUUCAGGAUGGUGUAUGUCUUUCAUGGUCUUUCAUGUGCUUGACCAGGCGAGGAAGGACUCAACUGAAAGAGGUGAGACACGCCCUAUAGGUUUUCAGUACUUGGGUGGUGUUUCCUGCCUUUCAGCUUCCUUACUUCAAAUUCAUUUCCAAUGGUUCUGGUUUGAUUGACUUUCUUUUUUCUGCUUAUGAUGGAUAGUGUUCAUAAAAUCCACCCAUCUGAAACAGUCCCAUCCAUACACCCAUCACACAUAAUGAUAGAGGGCAAUUCCAGUGCUUUGAAGAUCCUCUACGCUCUCUUUCAUAUCAGCGCCUCCACCCACACCUUUUGACUUCCAUUAUUGUCUGAAUGCUUUUCCUUCACCCCAGCUUCAUAUUGCAAUCAAAUUUGAUUGAUUUUACUGGACAGUGACUGAACAUGAAGAAUGCUAUUGUCUGUAACCAUAACUCAUUUUGAAAACAGAUGUUUCUGUAUGUUAUUUAUUUAAGUAUAUGUUGUACACAAAACUUCCUCAUAUGUGGCUGGCUUUUGGAUCUUAUCUAGUUUAUGGGUGUAGAGGACAAUUCCCUAUAGAUAGUCUUAUGAACAUCUUUUUUAACAGGUAAACUCAGUGUCUUGGUAAUAGGAGUGAAGUUGGUAAGUAGCAGGAUAGUCAAAUGUAUAUGGCAUGAGCAGAGCUGUCAAAUAGCCUUCCGAGGCAGAUGUCUUUUCUCACUCCUAGCAGCAACAUCUGAGGGUCCCAUUUGCUAUCACCAGCAUUUCUGUCUUCUAAUUUCAGUCUUUCAGGAGGUAAUUCUGACCUGGCAAAUUUGAUGUACAUCAAGAUGAUUAAAAACAAUGAUGUAAUCAUUCUGUGAAGAGAAGAAACAUCACUUACCCCGGCUGCUUCAUUUGCAUGGCAUUAGUUUGGGUUAUUUACACAAAUUAGUUUGAAAACUUUAAAACAUUUUAUGGGCAUUCUUGCUAAAAAAAUCUUCCAAAUGUGUCCUAGCUUUAGGUAGGUUACUUAAGACAUAUAUAUUUGAUUUUUAGUGGGUAGCUUUUUCUUUCUCACUUCUUUAUUUUACAUUAUAUAUAUUUAUUUUUGUUGGAUAUUUUUAUUUACAUUUCAAAUGUUAUUCCCUUUCACGAUUCCUGUCCUAUUCCCUCCCCUUGUUCUAUAUGGGUAUUCCUCUCCCCAUCUACGCCCCCAACAUUCCCUUACAUUGUGGGUCUAACCUUGGCAGGACCAAGGACUUCUCUUUCCUUUGGUGCCCAACAAGGCCAUCUUCUGCUACAUAUGCAGCUGGAGUCAUUGGUCAGUCCAUGUGUACUCUUUGGGUAGUGGUUUAGUCCCUGGGAGCUCUGGUUGGUUGGUAUUGUUGUUCUUAUGGGGUUGCAAACCCCUUCAGCUCCUUCAGUCCUUUCUCUAACUCCUCCUUAAAUCAUUAAGCAAGAAUAUGCUAGAUAGACUUGACUACAGGCAAUGUGACGGAGGCAUUUCUCAACUGCAAAUGGAUGGAACUUGAGACUAUUAUCCUGAGGGAGAUUACCCAGUCCAAAAAGGACAUUCAUGAAUGGUAUCUACUCACUUUUAAGUGGAUAUUAGCCAUAAAAUACCCAUUCUACCCUCCACAGACACAAAGAAGCUAAACAAGAAGGAAGGCACAAUUGAGAAUGCUUUAAUUUCACUUAAAAGGGGUAAUAAAACAGAAGAGGCAGAUAGAGGGAGGGAACUGGGUGAGAGAGUGG
ensembl:lncRNA